ACAGUGUUUCUACAGGUCUACAACAGGCGUUGUCAGCUGAUCACCUGUGGAUGCCAUGGUGUCUUCAAAGGUCUCCAGUAGCACCCCCAGCAGAACAAACCUCCUGAUAAGAUGGAGGAUGGAGGAUAAGAUGGAUGAGGAGGCCCUCACCUGCAGAGCACAGUGAUCAACUGGGUAUAUAAGAGUGAUUGGAGACUGCAGAAGACACUUCUAAGGCCACACUGACCCUUCCAAGCAGAUAUAUAUCCAGGAUGACUGUGGCCUCCAGACUCACAGGGCAGCGAAAAGCUCUGUGGGGAAGAAAAGAAAGAAAAGCCAAAUAACAUAAUGGAGAAAGUGAAGGCUACAGUUCCAUGACUGAACCAACUUGGACCAUUUCACUGGAGUAUUACUAUCAUAAGAGAACAAGAUUCAGAGAAAUAGGGUUGUAUUGGGAAUAUCUAUUGCAAAAGCAGAAGGAUGUGGGAACCAUAUUCCUUUAUUUGGUAGCCAAUCCCAUUUUCAGGUGAGUAACAGUAACUGAAAACACAUACACACACAUUUUCAAAUAUAUAUAUAAAUGGAUUAUGAAACACCCUGUACCCCGACAUUAUGCUUCUUUUCCACUUGUUUUUAAAUUCUGUUGAUUGUAUCAGCAUUUUUUGAUAAAUAUUUUACACUCUUUUAUGUAAACCGCUUAAGAGAUUUUUAUUCUUGAUUAAGUGGCCUAUGAAUUUUGUUAAAUAAAUAAAUAUAUUCCUAAUUGUGUAGAUAAGUCCUCAUAAUGCAUCCUGCUGUGGUAUCUGUAAAUUGCCUGUUUUGAUUUUGUGUUUUAGAUCUUUGUAUUAUGCCAUCAAAGAUAGAUCUA